GUCAUGGAGAGUUUGAUCCUGGCUCAGGACGAACGCUGGCGGCGUGCCUAAUACAUGCAAGUCGAGCGGUUCCUUCGGGAGCAGCGGCGGACGGGUGAGGAACACGUGAGUAACCGGGCAUCCAGUGG
rnacentral:rRNA from 1 species